CCCUUCUCACACUCCAUCAGAACAAUUAUUCCAAAGUUGUGGUUGUCCAGUCACAAUACCAAGUGCAUUGGUUUAGUCAUCUACAAAACAGCUAGAAAUGAAGAUCAAAGAUCUUUGCCAAUGUGCUUUGUAUUGUAAGUGCAAUAAUCACGCUUAGGAUUUGUCGUCUCGGGGAACCAAAUUUUGGAUAUUUGUCUAUCUCUUACAUUCUCAGACGGGAUGAUGCUUCCAAAGAACUCAAGAGCUGCAAUGCAUCAUUCAAAUCCAUAGCUGAAUUUAAAUCAUGGUAAGCACGUACUGAAUCAAACACUUGAUGAUCCAAAUCUCAGUGAUCAAAAUGGGGAAGCAGGGUUCUGAUGGAAGAGAACACAUUUUUACAGAGGAACCAAAAUUCUCACCAACAGAAUUGAAAAAGGAACGUUUUUAGUGUUUUUUAGUUACUAAUUAAACUUCAACCCACAAGAAUCUUCUAAUCUGUCCUACACAUCUAGGCUACAAACCUCAGAAAUAUAUCGAAAAAGCAUAAAGAGGGAAAGGAUUCAGUGCCUUAUGAUCUAUGAAGCAAGAUAGAUAGCCAUCAACUGAUCAACCAGCUGCUUAUCCUCGUGCUUCUUCACAUACCGUCUUAAGAACUCCUGAUUGGUAUAUGCCAAGACGGACGACAUUGGAGGGACUUUACUUCCAAUCAGUCCUUUGGAUAUAAGAACUUUGAUUACAUUACAUCUUGGCACAAUCCUCUUCUCUAGGCUGUAUCCAAGUACUGAAGGGUUUGAGACCAGAGCCUUUAGUGUCCAAUUCAUCUUCUUCACAAGAAAGUCAGCCUUCCUCUUCACCAUCUCUGCAGAUAACCCAAUGCACGGAGGAAAGUUCUUAACCAUCAUCGCAAACUCAUCUCUGCUGAAUCCUAAGCCAAGAAAUGUUUUUAUGGAGUCCGACAUCUUCUUCUCCGUCACUCUCAGAGCGACUGGACACUUCUUAAAACUUGCCCAUACAUCUCCCACAUCAAAGCCUAACCUUUUAUAGAGAUUGACUUUUUCUUCGAUUGUUUUCUCGCUCAUCCCGUAAAUAACUUGUAGAGCUUCCACAAACUUUCCGGUGGUUGGAUCAAAACCCAUCUCAACAACUUUCUUGAGUGUUUCUUCAAAUUUUUCUUUUCCACAUACAGGUUGGCGAUCCGAGAGGAGCAAGGAGAAUAAAGACCUAUGAGGCACACCUAACUCUCUCAGAACCGAAACAUUUCUGAUUUUAUUCUCCAGAUUACCCUGUGGAAAAGAAUGACAUAACUUUUCAUACUUAGAACUCUUAUCUAGUAAAGUUUCCUUGACGAAAUCAUAGUAUACACUAAUAGUUUUGUGCCCUCUCUUUCCCAAGAUUUCAGGAACUGACGAAACAAUCUGAGUGAGCUCAGAGCUUGAAGCUCCUCUGGACUGCAAAAACUGAAGCUUGGGACCAAGUGAUUUCUCAGCAUCAGCUAAAAGCAAUUUUGGAUACUCCGUAAUGAUGGUAGAGAUCUGAGAAUCUGUGAACCCAUGCUUUCUCAAAAGACUCAGAACAGAAUCAGAAUUGCCCUUUUCCUCGAAGCUAACUUUCUUUGAAAUCGAUUCAGCUAUAUUUGUAGUUAACCCCAAUGACUUAACGAGGUAAGAGACUGUAAAGUUCUUUCCUUUCCCACCAACUCUAGGACUCAAAUGUAAAGCAG
rnacentral:lncRNA from 1 species